rnacentral:rRNA from 1 species
UACGAAGGGGGCUAGCGUUGUUCGGAAUUACUGGGCGUAAAGGGCGCGUAGGCGGUGUGUCAAGUCAGGCGUGAAAGCCCCGGGCUCAACCUGGGAACAGCGCUUGAGACUGGCACGCUCGAAGUUCGGGAGAGGAUGGUGGAAUUCCCAGUGUAGAGGUGAAAUUCGUAGAUAUUGGGAAGAACACCGAUGGCGAAGGGCAGCCAUCUGGACCGACACUGACGCUGAGGCG